rfam:Triticum aestivum genome assembly, contig: Triticum_aestivum_CS42_TGACv1_scaffold_603763_7DL
UUAGUACUCCCUCCGAUCCAUAUUACUCGUCUUAGAUUUGUCUAGAUAUGGAUGUAUGUAACACUAAAACAUGUCUAGAUACAUCCAUAUCUAGACAAAUCUAAGAAAAUUAAUAUGGAUUGGAGGGUGUACAAU